CCUAUGGGUGGCAGCAGUGAGGAAUAUUGGUCAAUGGGCUCAAGCCUGACCCAGCAACGCCGCGUGAAGGAAGAAGGCUUUCGGGUUGUAAACUUCUUUUUGCAAGGACGAAGCAGGUGACGGUACCUGAGGAAUAAGCCACGGCUAACUACGUGCCAGCAGCCGCGGUCAUACGGGGGUGGCCAGCGUUAUCCGGAUUUACUGGGUGUAAAGGGCGUGUAGGCGGGACUGCAAGUCAGAUGUGAAAGCCACGGGCUCAACCUGUGGCCUGCAUUUGAAACUGUCGUUCUGGAGUACUGGAGAGGCAGACGGAAUUCCUAGUGUAGCAGUGAAAUGCGUAGAUAUUAGGAGGAACACCAGUGGCGAAGGCGGUCUUCUGGACAGCAACUGACGCUGAGGCGCGAAAGCGUGGGGAGCAAACAGGAUUAGAUACCCGAGUAGUC
rnacentral:rRNA from 1 species